rnacentral:rRNA from 1 species
AGUCACGGCGUCCAGUCCAAGUCCAUCUUGAAGGGGGCCCCGCUUAUCCGCAGAGGGUGCCAGGCCCGUGGUGACGGACGCCGGCCGCGACGGUCUUCCUCCCCAGAGUCGGGUUGCUUGAGAGUGCAGCCCUAAGUUGGUGGUAAACUCCAUCUAAGGCUAAAUACGACCAUCGAGACCGAUAGCGAACAAGUACCGCGAGGGAAAGUUGAAAAGAACUUUGAAGAGAGAGUUCAAGAGUACGUGAAACCGUUCAGGGGUAAACCUGUGAAACUCGAACGAUCGAACGGGGAGAUUCAUUCAGCGUCGCUUUCCGAUUUAGGGGUCCGCGGCGGGUCGUCGUUCCAGUCUGCCGCGGCGAGGGGCGUUUCGGCGUCUCUCGUUCAACGCGGCAGGCGCGGCCCGUUCGCGUCUCCGGCCCCCGGAGCGCGUGCACUUCUCCCUCAGUACAACACCGCGACCCGUCGGCGUAGCGGCGGUCUCAACGCGUCCGGGAGAAAGUCCGGACGGUCGGCUUCGCGGCCGGCCGUCCGAGUCUCCUCAGACGUCGCGGCCGCCGCCCGACGGUAGAGAACGAGGAUCGGAUCCCGCGCCUCGCGCGCGUCGUGAUCGUGCCGCGGCGCUCCGCGUCCCGGACCUCGGGACCUCGUUGUCUCGCAUGCUCCGGGCGUUCUCCUCCCGACGGGAGGAUAAGGAGCGUCGUCUUUCGGCGCGGUCGUCUCGGACAGGAUCUUCCGUCCCGGUCGGCGGUGGUUUUGUUUCGGGCACUCACAGGACCCGUCUUGAAACACGGACCAAGGAGUCUAGCAUGUGCGCGAGUCAUAGGGAGUACACUAAACCCUGAGGCGUAAUGAAAGUGAACAGCGCCGUGUUCUCGGUCCUUCGGGGCCGGGUUUCGGCCGCAGGGACGAUGGCGGACGGCC